AACAAGGCGUACCUGCGGACCUGCGGAAGGAUCAUUACCGAGUUUACAACUCCCAAACCCCUGUGAACAUACCUAUACGUUGCCUCGGCGGAUCAGCCCGCGCCCUGUAAAAAGGGACGGCCCGCCCGAGGACCCUAAACUCUGUUUUUAGUGGAACUUCUGAGUAAAACAAACAAAUAAAUCAAAACUUUUAACAAUGGAUCU
rnacentral:misc_RNA from 1 species